ACCGCAGACCGCCUUAUCGUCGUCUCAUCUUUUGGGAUGAGAGGGAGGAAAGUCCGGACACCAUAGGGAAGCAUAGCGGGUAACACCCGUCGGUCUCAUCUUUACAGGCGAGAUUAGGACAAGUGCAACAGAAAGUAUGUACAGGUAAUGCUGUAGUGAAACCAGGUAAACUCUAUGCGGUGAAAUAUCAAGUAUAUCAGCAUUCAAGGGUUCCCGCCCGUUGCUGAAGGGUAGAUAGCUUGAGUCUCGUAGUAAUGCGGGAUCUAGAUAAAUGAUAAGGCUCCGAUUUAUCGGAGACAGAAUCCGGCUUAUAGGUCUGCAUUUUUU
rnacentral:RNase_P_RNA from 1 species